rnacentral:lncRNA from 1 species
CUUUGCAGCACUGAAAGGGAGGUAAACCACCAAGCAAUUAUUUUCCGUCUACUCAUUGGUAUGAUAUCGUCAAAGUAAUCUUCUUGCUUUCAUUUCCCUGAGUUGGGUCUGGUGCUGAGUUUGAAAGAAGAAUGGAGGCAGGCGCUGACCUCCAUCAACAGUAAGUGAGUGCUCCCACAAGUUUGUCCCUUUGAAUUAGCAGUCAUAGGAUUAAAGUCCUUAUGUGCAUGUGCACUGACGGUAUUCUUUUGGUGCUCUUAGAUUUGCAUCAAUAGCAGAUUGUAAAAGUUGUAAUGUUGAGUGUAACUUGAUACAAAGAAUUGAGAAGGCUGUGUCUACUGUGUUGUGGUUCUAUUUUCUAAAAGCAGUUACUUACAGUAAAUUUGUUCUGUAAUGGUUCUAUUACGUUAACCAUUUUUUAGUUAUAAAAUUUAUGUGCCGACAUUAGCCACAAAGAAUGGCGAUGAACUUUGCCAUGAAAAUGUUCAGGCAUGGAUUUUGUCUUUUUGUCAGUUUUUUUAGCUCAUUUUUUUAUUUAACCAUUUUUUGCCAUUGACCACUAUGACCUCCAACAUCAGGAAAUCGCUCGCAGUUGAGAACAAAAAAUUCUUAAAUUCCCCAUGCCCCGUGCCCUAAAAGAUUCGCUUCCCGUCUCCUGUACUUGUCAAAGGUAAAUGACUGUUUCCCGCCAAAAGGACUUACUGGCUCUUCCUUUAUUACUGUCCUUUUACUGUCUCCUUUCCUCUUCACAGAGAGAGAGAGACGAACCAAAAUAGAGAGGCAGGGCAGAGAUGAAGGGCGCAUCCAAGGUGAUAGUGGGAGCAACACUGAUAAUGGUGGUGAGUCUUGCCAUUGUGUUAGGUCUCGUGCUAGUGCUCUUAAUUGAGCUCUACUGCUCUCUCUUACUCCGCAGGCGUCGGCUCAGGAACACCACCACCAACAUUUCUUCUUCUCUGCCUACACAAACCCAAGAACAAUCAGCGAGCCCUCUCAGUAGCUUCUAUGCCCAGGGAGUUCUUGAUGCUCCAAGAAGCUUGCUCUUCCCUGACGUUUCUUCAAAAGAAACCAAGGUAGAAAUGAAGAACCAAAGCUUUCAACCCCAUCACAGUGUCCUUGAAAUUCAUACCCAAGAACCAAACACAAGCCCUCAUUGUCUAGGCAUCAUAUCUCAAUCCUCCCCACCAACUCCCUUCAUCACGUCACCUCGGCCAACUCAAGAUACCGCAGCUCAAGUUGGUUCCAACAGUGCUCGUAAUGACAAAGCUCGUGGUGGUAGCAUUGGCGGGGAGCAUUUUGUGUACAUAUCCAAUCCCAUUUACGACAACGAUGCAAGCAGGCUGAGCAUGGCAGAUACUCCGUUUGAAACUCCGGAUACAUCGCCUUCGCGACUAGAAUCAGGUGGUGGUUCUUCCAGCGAAGACGAGAUAGCCCCGGCAUCACCAUCUAGUCCACAGCCGGUGCCAAACACGCCUCCAUUGACUCCAAUGAAGAAGCUCCCGGCAGAAGCUUGUUCAGUUUCUUUGAGGGAUGCCAGGUCGCUUGGCACGUCAGGUAGUGACUCUGUUAGUAACAAUGGCCAUUCGUCAUCAUCUUCAGGGUCUGCAUGUACAUCUCCUUCAUGGUGAUUUCGGAAAAUUUCUCGCAAAGUUCUCUACUUGUGGGUAAUUUUGCUUUUCCUUUUCUAAUUUCCUUCUUGGGUGAGCUUUCGGAGUUGGUUUUUUUUUUUUUUUUUUUGUGAAUACAGUAGAGAUAGUACCAGUGCAGCUGCAGCAUGUCUUUUUUGUUUCUUUGCAGGCGUGACCAUGGCUCGGUCACCCAGGCCAGGCCACCUCCAUCAACAGUAAGUGAGUGCUCCCACAAGUUUGUCCCUUUGAAUUAGCAGUCAUAGGAUUAAAGUCCUUAUGUGCAUGUGCACUGACGGUAUUCUUUUGGUGCUCUUAGAUUUGCAUCAAUAGCAGAUUGUAAAAGUUGUAAUGUUGAGUGUAACUUGAUACAAAGAAUUGAGAAGGCUGUGUCUACUGUGUUGUGGUUCUAUUUUCUAAAAGCAGUUACUUACAGUAAAUUUGUUCUGUAAUGGUUCUAUUACGUUAACCAUUUUUUAGUUAUAAAAUUUAUGUGCCGACAUUAGCCACAAAGAAUGGCGAUGAACUUUGCCAUGAAAAUGUUCAGGCAUGGAUUUUGUCUUUUUGUCAGUUUUUUUAGCUCAUUUUUUUAUUUAACCAUUUUUUGCCAUUGACCACUAUGACCUCCAACAUCAGGAAAUCGCUCGCAGUUGAGAACAAAAAAUUCUUAAAUUCCCCAUGCCCCGUGCCCUAAAAGAUUCGCUUCCCGUCUCCUGUACUUGUCAAAGGUAAAUGACUGUUUCCCGCCAAAAGGACUUACUGGCUCUUCCUUUAUUACUGUCCUUUUACUGUCUCCUUUCCUCUUCACA